CCGACGCCUUCCAGAGGCGGGCCACCAGGGAGGGGAAAACCGCCCUGUGCUCUCCGGAAGUGGGCAACAGUCUCCAAACUGGAGGCCCUGGAGCUUUCGAUACAUCUUCAAGGUUAAUGAAAGCUGCCGUGGCUUGGGCUUGUCUGCACAGCCACCUGCCUCAUCCUCACGCUACCUGGCCUACGAAAGGUGAGAGUCCCCUGGUCGAGGGAGGGAGUGUCUGAGCUAGCCUAUUCUUAGGUUGGGAGUGAGUGUUCCCUGCCCGCAGGGUUCACCACACUGAUUUUAGUAUCUAAGCCCUCCUAACAGAGGGCCUCAGUGAGGGCACUCCCCUGCCAGGGGCCAUUCUGGAGUCGCCACAGUGACGGGAGCCUCACCAGCACAACAGGCAACCCCACAGGUGAGUGAGUGCCAACGACCAUGCAGGUAAAAGCACGGUGUGUUACUGGCACGUUUUUCACAGACACUGAAGUUUCUAGGAAUGCAACUAGUAUAUAAAUCUAGAGAUGGUCAUGCUGCGACUUGAUCAGAACUUCACCAGAAGUUGUUCACCAUGAGAACGUGACUUCCUGAUGGCGAACCUGCGCCUGGCACCAACUAUGCCAACAUCCGACCAUGCUCUAAGCCAUCGCUCACAGCCAAUCUGUGCACAGAUGCAAGCACCGCCUGUGCCACAGCCUCUCACCGCAGGACUGUCCUGCCUGGUUCUUUGCACAGUGAAGCCACUAUCACUGCAUGACAAAUUCCUUUCCUCUUAUUCUUGACUAAAUUACAUUUAGGUUACUAUAUUCAUGUUUUUUAAUUAUGGGGGAGGUUUUAUUAUCUAUCAUUUCAGAAUCCUCGAGGGGCCAUUACAAAGUACAGUCACAUGCCUCAUACAUGCAGUCAACAAUGGACCACCUGUGAUGGUGGUCCAUCGGAUGAUAACAGGUGGAAAAAUCCCUGUCCCCAUAACUGUUCUGACAACCUAGGGCAGCACAUGACUGAGUGUGGUGGUGCUAGUGUGAAUAAACCCACUGCACUGCCAGUCCCAUGGAAGUACAGUGCAUACAAUUAAUAUAUAAUACAUGGCAAUGGUAAUGAAUGACUGUUGGCUGGGCGCCGUGGCUCACCCCUGUAAUCCUAGUACUUUGGGAUGCCAAGGUGUGCGAAUGAUUUGAGGUCAGGAGUUUGAGACCAGCCUGACAGGAGUUCACAUGGUGAAACCCCAUCUCUACUAAAAGUACAAAAAAAAGUGUGUGUGGUAGUGCAUGCCUAUAGUCCCAGCUAGUCAGGAGGCUGAGUCAGGAAAACUGCUUGAAACCGGGUGGCAGAGGUUGCAGUGGAGAGAGACUGCACCACUGUACUCCAGCCUGGGCGACAGAGGGAGACUCCAUCGCAAAAACAAAAACAAAAAAAUAGUUAUGGUUUAUGUAUUUACCAGCUGUACUUUUUAUGAUUAUUUCAGAGUGUGCUCCUUCUUACAAGAUGUACGGUUAACUGUAAAACAGCCUCAGGCAGGUCCUUCAGGAGGUCUCCAGAAGGCGGCACUGUUGUCAUAGGAGAUGACAGCUCCACAAGUGUUCUGCCCUUGAGACCUUCCCGUGGAGCAGGAUGUGGAGGUGGAAGUCAGUGGUACGGAUGACACUGACCCUGUGACCCUAGCCCAGUGUGUGUGUUUGUGUCUUCGUUUUUAAUAUAAAAGGAUGUUCUGGGAUCACUGAGGACCUAUUAACUGACCAGUUUUGGACAGAAGCUGAAGCAUGAACAGGACUCGCCCUGUUGACACUGGAAUUCCCAUUAGGACUCGACAUGGAACUGCCUGGCGUGUCUUUCAG